CCGUUGUCAGCAUCGAGUGGCGGGCCCUACGGGGGCCGGCACAAGAGGGAACCCGGUGAGAAUCCGGGACUGUCCCGCAGCGGUAUGCAGGAACGAUCGCCGUCAUAAGCACUGGGAAUGCCACCAACGCUCCUGGGAAGCGACGGCCCGUAGGAAAACCUGAGCCCGGGUAAUGCCUGUAAGUCCGAAGACCUGCCAGUUGUGUCGGAUGCGCC
rnacentral:ncRNA from 16 species